UUCACACCAUAAUAACUGUCAUGCUCUUUAUUUAAUCAAAAUAACACUUUCUUGCAUAAUUCGCAGCGGAUAGAAAUCAACUAACCAUUCAAAACAUAUAACAUAUUACAGGUAAAAAGGUUCAACAACCAACAAAUAAAACAACUAAAACAUCCCGUCCCGAUGUUACAUCUAUCAGAGCACGACCCUCUAAGUAGACUACACUAGACUCCAAGCA
rnacentral:lncRNA from 1 species